AGCGGAGGAAAAGAAACUAACAAGGAUUCCCUUAGUAACUGCGAGUGAAGAGGGAAAAGCUCAAAUUUAAAAUCUGGCAGUGUUUCACUGUCCGAGUUGUAACCUAGAGAAGUGUAACCUGCGCUGGACCGUGUAUAAGUCUCCUGGAAUGGAGCAUCACUGAGGGUGAGAAUCCCGUCUUUGACACGGACCACCAGUGCAUUGUGGUUGUGCUCUCAACGAGUCGAGUUGUUUGGGAAUGCAGCUCUAAAUGGGUGGUAAAUUCCAUCUAAAGCUAAAUAUUGGCGAGAGACCGAUAGCGAACAAGUACCGUGAGGGAAAGAUGAAAAGAACUUUGGAAAGAGAGUUAAACAGUAUGUGAAAUUGUUGAAAGGGAAACGUUUGAAGUCAGUCGCGUUGGUUGGGGAUCAGCCUGACAUUGUUGGGUGUACUUCCUGGUUGACGGGCCAACAUCAGUUUUGAUUGCCAGAAAAAGGCCAAAGGAAUGUGGCACCUUUGGGUGUGUUAUAGCCCUUGGUCGUAUAUGGUGGUUGGGACUGAGGAAAGCAGCGUGCCGAAAGGCCGGGUUUCGACCACGUUCACGCUGAGGAUGUUGGCAUAAUGGCUUUAAGCGACCCGUCUUGAAACACGGACCAAGGAGUCUAACAUGCAUGCGAGUGUUUGGGUGGAAAACCCUUACGCGUAAUGAAAGUGAAAGUUGAGAUCCCUGUCGUGGGGAGCAUCGACGCCCGGACCAGAACUUUUGGGACGGAUCUGCGGUAGAGCACGUAUGUUGGGACCCGAAAGAUGGUGAACUAUGCCUGAAUAGGGUGAAGCCAGAGGAAACUCUGGUGGAGGCUCGUAGCGAUUCUGACGUGCAAAUCGAUCGUCAAAUUUGGGUAUAGGGGCGAAAGACUAAUCGAACCAUCU
rnacentral:rRNA from 1 species